CUCAGAGCAUGGAGUCGCGCUUUUGUCUGGCCCUCAUUGUUCUUCUCAACCCGAGACCCUGGGCUGAUAUGAAUUUGAUAUGACAGUAAAGUGCCAAUUAUGUACAUAUGUACGAGGCCUCACACCCUACCCCACCCCUCGCUCCCUUUACAGCUGUGAAAAGCCCGAGACGUGAGGAAGAGAGGGCCGGAAAGAGAUAAGGAGGCAAUGCCAUGGCCCGACACCCCUGAACUCAUUGCUACGUUCUUCCCAUUGACCCUAAAGUCAUUCGCUGCUGCUGCCUCAUCUCACAUCACCUUCAGCUCCGUCUCUCAUUCAUGGAACGUCUUGGAGAGGAUGAUCAUCGUUACAAACAGACAUAUCUGAGACACCGUGGGGCGGCGGUGGCACUCCAAGACAGGGCUCAUCAGCGUGUCUUCUUUAAAAGCAAGGAGCGCUGGUAGUGGCAGCCCAGGAGAGGCAGUGUCUGUCUGAGCAUGGAUGCUGCCCUGUCACCCACCCCACUGCUUCCACUUCAGCAGCAACAACACCCUGGGAGCCCUGAGACAAGGUCUGCAUACAGAGAAGCCAGAAAACAAAGCUGUGUGGUGCAAUUUCACAAAAUAACGUCUUGCAGAGCCAAUACAGCUUUCUUUGAUCACUGUCAGAUUUUUUUUUCUUUACCCCCAACAUUUUAAACCUUAAAAAUGUUGCAGUUCAUUUGUGAGAACGUGCAUUUAGAAAGCUUUUCCAGCAGCAACAGUAACAACACAGCUAAUAACUACAGUCUAGUGUCGCCCCAGAAAAAUAUUCACUUGACACUUACUUUCUUAUCUGUUCCCAUGAGCUCUCGCUGAUACCACAUAAAUUGUUUGGUCUGUUCUGAGAAGUGGAUUAUGAAAAGAAAAUCGAUUUGCAUUUGUUGUCUAACAAACACAUACAUUUCAAACAUACAUUUUAGUGUUGUCUCAGACUCUAACCCUUUUUCAGUUGGAUGAAAGGGUUUGUCUUGUUGGCUACUUUUCACCAACAAACUAGUGUAAGUUAUGCUUUCUUUUUAGAGGUAAAUGUCAGUAAAAUCAAAGAAAUUACUAUUGAUUUUAGGAAAAAUAAAUAUGCCAUCUGUCUUGUGCACAUUAAUAAUCAGACAGUUGAAGCUGAGGAGGAAUACAAAUAUCUGGGUACAAAAAUAGGCGCUGUAUGCAAGAAAUCUCACCAAUAUAUGUACUUUUAUCCUAAAUUAAGACAUUUUAUUGUUUACUGCCAUUUUAAACAUUGUUUUACAGUUGUUUUAUUGAAUCUGUAUAUAUUUUUCUUUUAUUUAAUGAGUUAUUGACACAGAAAAAUAACGUCAUCACGUUUUCAGUCUUUGCAGAAUAAAGUUCCAUGGCCCGUAACACACAUCUCCACUCUCCUCAAACACAGAUCGGUCAAGAAAACCACCUGCAGUUCACAGAGUUUUCUGUUUUACCAUCAGGACGCAGAUCUGCUGUAAAAAAAACUGCAGGACCAACAGAUUUAAGAAUUUAUUUUUCCCUGCUUUUACCAUCCUUUUAAACACUUCUAGUUGAGUGUUGUGUGUGUCGGUCUCUGAGAAUGUGUUUUUUUAUGUCUAUACUAUGGUGGUUUUUAUUGCACUCACUGUAUGUACCAUAGGAGAAUGCUUUUUCUGCUGGCUGUAAAGCAAAUUGUCCCAUGGGGAUACUAAGAAUAUCGCGAUUCCCUUAAUUUUUUAUUUUUUAUCUACUUUAACACAUUUUUAUUGAGUAUGUAAGCACUCUGAUUGUCUGUAUAGUUUAUGCUACUUGUAAUCUAUUUUCUUCUCGUAUAGCCACUUGGCUAUACAGGAAAAGCUGAUCUGGAAAUGUCAAACCUUUUAGGGGUUUCGUUAGAACAGUUAUAAAAUCUCAUUGAGCAAAUUCAAUUAAAGGAUCAGCCUCAUUUUCCGUCCUGUUCCACCUUAAAUGUGAUAUUAAAGUUGUUUUUAUUUUAGAGAUUUAUUUUAUCAGUCCAUUAUAAGAAGAUUAUCUUCAUCACUAUAAAACAGUAAAUAAAGAGCAUUCUCCACUUAACCUGACAUAGAUAAUUGUUUAUAUAACACGUCCUGCUUCUGCACAAAAGUCCAGCUUUUGCUAUGGUGGAUGACUUAUUUCAUUAAUUGCAGCUCUCUACUUCACACUACAUACUAACAUUCUCUUUCAGUUUGUCUGGUCAAAUUUUUGAAGCUAGAUAAAACUUUGUCACCAACACAGUAUGUUCAGAAAACCAUAAUAUUACCAGCUUUUGUUUUAUAUUUGUUCCUAAUUUCUUUUAGUAGAAGUUAAUUUCCACCUCCUGCCUUCUCUCUGCAUUUUGGCCCCCCAUGUCACCUUUACAUGACAGCAUCACUUUCAUUUAAAUUUACAAUUACGUAUUACGUCGUGUCGGCCUAUCACAUGCAAUCUCAUAAACACUCUGAGAUUUUUGGGAAAGGUUAGAAAAUCUGAGAAAGAUCCAAGGGGUUUGUGCUCAAAACUACCACCAUGGGCCCCUGAAGAAGUACACAAAAUGUAAAAUAAAUGCAUAAUAGCAUCAUGCACUAUUUCCUGUAAAACAAUAUGCUUUUUAACUUGACUGCUAUAAACAGAAAGUAAAUCUUCCAUAGCUCUGCAUUGUGUUUCAAAUAUACUGAAAGUCAGGAAAUGACAGCAAGAGCAGGUCAAACUGGAAGGUGCUGAAAGCAGUUGGCAUGAUGCACCACAGAGAGACAAGGUGCUUCUGCCAGACUUUUGUAGGGAACAUACACAC